AGUGGGAUAGCUUGGUUAAAUGGUGGUUCCAAUUCAAGUUUUCUAAGGACCCUCUAUAUUGCUUUCCAAAGUGGUUGCACCAUUUUUCAAUCCCAGCAGCAAU
rnacentral:pre_miRNA from 1 species